rnacentral:tRNA from 1 species
AGGGCAGUAGCACAAUGGCAGUGCGGCGGUCUCCAAAACCGUUGAUGUGGGUUCGAUUCCUGCCUGCCCUGCCA